rnacentral:rRNA from 1 species
GGUGAACGCUGGCGGCGUGCCUAAUACAUGCAAGUCGAGCGAACGGACGAGAAGCUUGCUUCCCUGAUGUUAGCGGCGGACGGGUGAGUAACACGUGGAUAACCUACUUAUAAUACUGGGAUAACUUCGGGAAACCGGAGCUAAUACCGGAUAAUAUUUUGAACCGCAUGGUUCAAAAGUGAAAGACGGUUUUGCUGUCACUUUUAGAUGGAUCCGCGCUGCAUUAGCUAGUUGGUAAGGUAACGGCUUACCAAGGCAACGAUGCAUAGCCGACCUGAGAGGGUGAUCAGCCACACUGGAACUGAGACACGGUCCAGACUCCUACGGGAGGCAGCAGUAGGGAAUCUUCCGCAAUGGGCGAAAGCCUGACGGAGCAACGCCGCGUGAGUGAUGAAGGUCUUCGGAUCGUAAAACUCUGUUAUUAGGGAAGAACAUAUGUGUAAGUAACUGUGCACAUCUUGACGGUACCUAAUCAGAAAGCCACGGCUAACUACGUG